rnacentral:rRNA from 1 species
UCCUGACCUCGGAUCAGACGUGAAU